GCUUCUCAUCGCUGGAGUGUGAGUAACCUGUGUUUCCCGGACCUGUUCCUGUUUUGUAUUCUGCUUCCUGAGACUGGCAGUGUGGCAUGGUGCGAGUGAAGCGAGAGCGUGAGUGUCUGAAGAGGAGCGUGGAGUGUACAUAGGAACAGAGUGUGGUGUGUGUGACCUGGAUUGUGUGCAUGGACCCUCCCCCUCCUUUCCUGGAUCCCUGGAAAACCUGACCCUCGCACUUUGUACAUAUUGCACCUGGUGUUUUGUCUAUACACUGUUGACUUUUAUUCUAAAGAGCUCUGGUCUGCGCUUGAGUCCGUUUGGUCCUGUGACAUUAUGGCUGUCUGUGAAUAUUGCAUGCCAAUAUACUCACUGUUAGAAAAUAAUAUUCAACUAGACUAUGCAAUUCCUGGGGAAUUUGCUACCGGUGGACUGUGGCUUGUGGUUAGUGGCAGCAAAAAGUUGUACCCAAAUGGCUUGCUGCUGUACCAUGAAUAAAGGUGUAUCUAGUAAAGUAGCAUAAAUUUGACAGUUCAGAUGUGUUUGUGUUACUGAUAGUGUAUGUUUAUAUUGCAAAAUGGAGAAAGAGGAGAACAAUUUUCAAAUUGCUCUGUUACCCAUACUGUAUGUUCAUACUGAGAAACCGAGAAAGACGAACUAUCUUCAUGAAAAAUGAUAUUUAGAUGAUGAUGAUAAUAAAACACAGAGGCCAUCGAAAAAAACAUAUAUGACUGAUUCUGGAUCUUACGAAGAAGGACAAGCUUAUCAUGGGCUUUCCACUUGUGUCCACCACACAAGCCAAGCU